rnacentral:rRNA from 1 species
GACGAACCGUGCGAACGUUGUUCGGAAUCACUGGGCUUAAAGGGCGCGUAGGCGGGCAUUAAAGUCAGGGGUGAAAUCCCCCAGCUCAACUGGGGAACUGCCUUUGAUACUGAAUGUCUCGAGUAAGGUAGGGGCAUGCGGAACUGAUGGUGGAGCGGUGAAAUGUGUUGAUAUCAUCAGGAACUCCGGUGGCGAGGCGGCAUGCUGGACCUUCACUGA